CUUAGUGAACCUAACAAUUAAGCCAUCGAUAUUACAUCCUGCAACCUGUAAUGCCGAUCACCCAUUGUUGUCUCAAUAAGCUAGUGAGAAGUUCCCGAGGAUGCCAAAAUAUCGUUUUACUCCUCAUGUGCAAAUAUGCCUAGAUCGUCCGAUUCAUGACUCAAUCACGAUACCGUACUAUCCUAGAGCACACCAAACCAGCUGCUAAAAAUGUUUCGACGUUCACAUUCGCAUAACAAUACGACCCUAGAGUGAAGCAGUGGAAAUAUAUGUAGAGACGAACACAUAUUGCAAAAAGCUUCUUUCGUGACUAAUCACUAGAGUUGCUCUCCAAAUCGAAGGAAUAAGAUCUGAAAGCUUAAAUUAGAAAAACCAUAUCUCUGAUGACAUUCUUUGAAUGACAAUUGCAGUUCUGAGCCAAACUUGAAAAUUAACAUCACAACCACCAAGCUCAAAACCUAUGUUCAUACCUUCACUAAUAUCAUGCUAAAUUACUACUCAAUCCUCAAAGCCGUUUGGAAUUCUUCUUGGUAAGUCUGGUAAACUUGCAAGAAGAUUAUACUCCUAUGGUUCCUGCUAGCAUCGAUAUAAAACUAGCGCACGCAUCCGCCAAGUCGAUCUAUUAUGAAUUCCUGACUAAUUGAGCGAGAAACCAUGUCAAGAAUGCUAAAAGAACACUCAAGAAAUUGAGGGUCAAACAAGUCCAUGAAAUCUAAAGUACAAGAUAUCUGGAUUGAAUAUAUAAUUUUGAUGUCUGAACACGUGUAAAUACUUAACUUAAUCAUGUGCUAGCAACUAAAGGGUUGGAAGAUAACUCAACUUGAACAAUAGUUUAAGGAGGGUUGACGGAACGAAACUUAGAUUUUUCCUUGACUCAAAAUUCACAAUAGUUUGUUACAACGAUAGCUCCAAGAAUAAUAAAUCACCGAUGGUGACAAUUUUCUCAAUAGAAUGUUGAUUGGGUGAUUUAAGGACUGAUGGUCUAAACUGAAAGUUUCGAUGUCUAAGUGGUCCUCCUGAAUAGUCUAUCAACAUCAGAAAUGAUAUGGGGAACAUAUGAGUGACUCAAAAUCAACUAAAAUACCUUUAAUACCAGGAGGUGAAACUGAGGGUACGAACAGAGCUGAUGCAGACUAAAAAAUCAAAGAGUCAGACAAUUUAAAAAAUGAUGAAUUAUGCUGAAAGACUAAAUGUGGUUGUCUCAGGCCAAAAGUAGAAAGGUCAAAUUUAAGAAUGAGCUAACAAGGUUUCUUGAUGAUUGAAAAGUAACACAACAAAAGUAGUAGAGCUAUCAGGGACCAAAAGUGAUUUUCCCAAGAUGUUCUUCCAUCGAGUGCUACCAUUUUAGCACCAUCACCACAUGAGACAUUUUUAGAGUCUUGACAAAAGUAGACUUCACAGGAAUUCUAACGGAUACUGCCAAGGAAUCAUGAUUUUCUUGAAGGUCGAUAAGUCGACUAAGUCACCUAAGACUUAGAAAAAGCUAAUACCUUUUUGUAUUCGUCGAGGUGGCAAUAUUUGACAUUUAGGUUCAAAAACCAAGAAUGCUUACAUCA
rnacentral:lncRNA from 1 species